CUGUAUUCCGUCGCUUUCCACCUAUCUCGAUAGUCAGUUAUUGAGUUAUCAAACAGCUGUAAAUUUUUUCAUCGUGGCAUUUAAAUGUAUGUAGAGCUCUGUAGCCUCCGAAACAAAAAUGCAAUCUCAAGGACAGUCACAAGUAUCCCAGCUGCAAUCCUCAACGCAUCUACUAUUGCAACAGACAAAUACAACAGGAAACAACGUAGUGGCAAAGCAGGGUGAAUCCCAAUCUCAUUCAUCCAUUGGCUUACUAGAAUUGGCUCAUAGAGAGUACCAAGCAGUGGACUACGAAAGUGCAGAAAAGCAUUGUAUGCAACUAUGGCGUCAGGACAGUACAAACACGGGAGUUUUAUUACUACUGUCAUCUAUUCAUUU